AAAGUAAUUGACCCAACCUUGCUAAUAGGCAAUACAAAUCUGUCAGUUGUCGUUAGACUGUUUUUCUUUUUUGCUACAUUUCUGAGAAACUUGCCAUGUUUAAACCUUUAUACAAUAAGCUACAAAAUAUUUUUUGUCUGCUUUGUUUAUUCCAGGCCCAUUAUAGGGAAGUUUGUCCCUGUACAUCACAGGGAAGUUGGUCAAGGUCCAUCAUAAGGAAGUUGGUCCAGGCCCAUCACAGAGAAGUUGCUUCAUGUCCAUCACAGGGAAGUUGGUCCAGGUCCAUCAUAAGGAAGUUGACCCAGGUCCA